rnacentral:rRNA from 1 species
CCUACGGGAGGCAGCAGUGAGGAAUAUUGGUCAAUGGACGCGAGCCUGAACCAGCCAAGUCGCGUGAGGGAUGACGGUCCUAUGGAUUGUAAACCUCUUUUGUCAGGGAACAAAGGGUGCCACGUGUGGCGUUUUGCGUGUACCUUAAGAAAAAGCAUCGGCUAACUCCGUGCCAGCAGCCGAGGUAAUACGGAGGAUGCGAGCGUUAUCCGGAUUUAUUGGGUUUAAAGGGUGCGCAGGGGGAUUGUCAAGUCAGCGGUAAAAUUUCGGGGCUCAACCUGGAAGUGCCGUUGAAACUGGCGGGCUUGAGUGCGCGAGAGGUGUGCGGAAUGCGUGGUGUAGCGGUGAAAUGCUUAGAUAUCACGCAGAACUCCGAUUGCGAAGGCAGCAUACCGGAGCUCAACUGACGCUGAGGCACGAAAGCGUGGGUAUCGAACAGGAUUAGAUACCCGUGUAGUC